UGGGGAAUUUUGGACAAUGGGCGAAAGCCUGAUCCAGCAAUGCCGCGUGUGUGAAGAAGGCCUUCGGGUUGUAAAGCACUUUUGUCCGGAAAGAAAUCCUUGGCUCUAAUACAGUCGGGGGAUGACGGUACCGGAAGAAUAAGCACCGGCUAACUACGUGCCAGCAGCCGCGGUAAUACGUAGGGUGCAAGCGUUAAUCGGAAUUACUGGGCGUAAAGCGUGCGCAGGCGGUUUGCUAAGACCGAUGUGAAAUCCCCGGGCUCAACCUGGGAACUGCAUUGGUGACUGGCAGGCUAGAGUAUGGCAGAGGGGGGUAGAAUUCCACGUGUAGCAGUGAAAUGCGUAGAGAUGUGGAGGAAUACCGAUGGCGAAGGCAGCCCCCUGGGCCAAUACUGACGCUCAUGCACGAAAGCGUGGGGAGCAAACAGGAUUAGAUACCCUGGUAGUCCACGCCCUAAAACGAUGUCAACUAGUUGUUGGGGGAUUCAUUUUCCUUAGUAACGUAGCUAACGCGUGAAGUUGACCGCCUGGGGAGUACGGUCGCAAGAUUAAAACUCAAAGGAAUUGACGGGGUCAUAGCUGUUUCCU
rnacentral:rRNA from 1 species